ACUUUUUGAGAGUAUUCCAAUAAUUACUGCGGGAAAAUAACAGCAAAAUAACCCGGUUAGUUAUUUUUGGUCCCCAUUCAGCUCUGGAUACGAACAAGUUCAGAAACCGAAAUCAUUUCAAUGCGCUCUGCGAGUUUCCUUUGUUGUGUCGCCUUGCCAUUAAUCGGGUUUGAGCACAUUCGAAACGGUGGCGAAUUCGCCGAGGUAAAAUGCGGUUUCUGAUAUUCAUAGACGAUCGUUCACAUCUUUAUGCCACGCGCAAUAGGAGGUUAGGUUUUAUCGAAAGCGUCAGGGCUUAAUGGAAGUCACAAGAUUCGGUUGCUAGUCGCCGCGGAAAUUGGAAUCUCUUUGUCUGGCAUGAUUCGCGGUACGUCUAAUGCUAGAGCGACGAUGUCUGAAUUAUUUCAUGGAAAUAUCCAGUUACUAGAUUUAUGCAAGGUGCAGUCUUCAUGUCGAUUCCAGGGACCUGUAGGCAAUGGGUUUCUCCAAUGGAUCAAGUUUGCAGCGACUCAUGGGCCCUGAAGAUUCUCCGUGUCAAGGUAUCAUCAGAAUUCCUCGGAUCACUCCCAUCUGUUCUCAUGGCGACGUUGGCGCUGAUGCUGGGACUCCAGGACUCCUGCAUUGGU